rnacentral:misc_RNA from 2 species
AACGCACAUUGCGCCCCUUGGUAUUCCAUGGGGCAUGCCUGUUCGAGCGUCAUUUGUACCUUCAAGCUCUGCUUGGUGUUGGGUGUUUGUCUCGCCUUUGCGUGUAGACUCGCCUCAAAACAAUUGGCAGCCGGCGUAUUGAUUUCGGAGCGCAGUACAUCUCGCGCUUUGCACUCAUAACGACGACGUCCAAAAGUACAUUUUUACACUCUUGACCUCGGAUCAGGUAGGGAUACCCGCUGAACUUAA